rnacentral:rRNA from 1 species
AACGAACGCUGGCGGCAUGCCUAACACAUGCAAGUCGAACGAGACCUUCGGUUCUAGUGGCGCACGGGUGCGUAACGCGGGGAACCUGCCCUGAGCUUCGGAAUAACUCCCCGAAAGGGGUGCUAAUACUGGAUAAUGUCUUCGGACCAAAGAUUUAUCGCCUUUGGAUGGGCCCGCGUUGUAUUAGCUAGUUGGUAGGGUAAACGCCUACCAACGCGAGAAUCCAUAGCUGGUCUGAGAGGAUGAGCAGCCACACUGGGACUGGGACACUGCCCAGACUCCUACGGGAAGCAGGAGUGGGGAAUAUAGGACAGUGGGCGGAGGGAUGAUCGAGCAAUGGCGGGUGAGUGAUGAAGGCAUUAGGGUUGUAGAGCCCUUUUAUCCGGGAUGAUAAUGACGGUACCGGGAGAAUAAGCACCGGCUAACUCCGUG